rnacentral:rRNA from 1 species
CCCUUAGAUGUUCUGGGCCGCACGCGCGCUACACUGAUGCAUUCAACGAGUUUCUUCCUGGUCCGAGAGGAAUGGGUAACCUUUUGAAAGUGCAUCGUGAUAGGGAUAGACUAUUGCAAUUAUUGGACUUCAACGAGGAAUUCCUAGUAGACGUAGUUCAUCAGACUGCAUCGAUUACGUCCCUGCCCUUUGUACACACCGCCCGUCGCUCCUACCGAUUGAAUGCUCAGGUGAGCCAUUCGGACUUUCAUCAUGCUGGUUUCCAGUUUUGAUGAAGGAAAGUCUUGCGAACCUUAUCAUUUAGAGGAAGGAGAAGUCGUAACA